AGCUCCUUCCUUCUUCAAGCAGCACUCUUUCUAAACAUUUCGGCCUAUGCCAUAAUGAAAUUCUCAGCUAGAAGCAUUUCAAAAUCACAAAUAUACCGAGUAAAUACCGCAGGAGAAUGUUGAAAGUAAACCCGGUAAUUUACUAAGUGCCAGCUCUAUUCAUGCCAGUGUAGCCUGAUCUCAAUCACAUUCAGAAAGCUAACAAAAGAAGGGGUGUGUUCUCAGGAAAGCUGGGCUGGGGUCGGUAGUCAAGGAUUAAAGUGGUUUGAUUUCAUUUUACAGGUGGUGAAAACUGACCCCAGCACAGCACAGACGUGGCGGAAAUGUUUGUUGUUGUAGACUUAAGAGAAAAUUUGGAGAGAAGACGUUCUUUCAACUGCUUUCAGGAGCGUGUCGAAUCAGCAGAUGCCAGCCAAAUGUUGAGUUCUCCCUCCUAUCUCUUCUUUAAGAGGUUUCCUGCCAGAGGCUUGAAGUGGAUGAUGAAGAGGCUGAGCAGGGGGCCUGGCAGCACUGCAUCCCACACAGAUGCCUCUCUUGUGGGCAUACAGAGAGGGACAUGCCCCCCCGGAUGGAAGGUUGCUUGCAGUCUGGAGCUGGAACUGCAGAGGGAAAAGGCUCACUCAUUAAUCUACCAUACCACCUUCUAUGUACCUGUCUGAGAAACAGAACUGAAAAUUGUACUGGUAUUCUCUGAAAUAACUGACAUGCAUUUCACAGAGGUUCAUGAGAGUAGCAGUAUUACCCAAUUUGCAAAAUUAUUCAUCUGAAUUGGUUAUUUUUGGUUGAUCUGGUUCACUAAACAGGGCUGAAUGAUUCAUUCACAAAGCAGACGGAUCCAGUUCACAAACUUAACUCAAUGGCUCAAAGAUCUAAAAUUGCAUGGGAAAAAAAUGAUGAAUGGUUUUGAAAUUACAUGAGGGGAAGUAAAUGAUGACACUAUUUCAUUCAUGGGUGAACUAUCCCUUUCAAGUCAAAUUUUUAAGGCUUUUGCUAUGAAGUCACACAUCAUUUUUUUUUUCAAGUCAUUCUUAGCUAGUAAAUCUCUCCUUCUCUGGCUUUCACAUCCUCCUUGCUCUACCAGCAACCCUAUUUGCUCUUUAUCCAUGUGAGGGUGUGCUGACAGAUCCUGGGCUGAAUGGAAGCAAGCGUGUCCAUCCAUCCUCACCUUUCUCACUCCUUCCCUCAUCUUGUGUCUCUCUUCCUUCUCUCUCUUUUUUUCAGGUGUGCUGGGUUUUUUGGCAUUUCCUCUUUCUUAUCGCAGGAGGCAGGAGUCAUGGGCAAACACUACGCAUCAUUACCUGUGUGAGGAGUAAAGUGGUUGGGUCCUGGCACCUUCAACCGGUGCAGAAUAUCUAAUUUACUAAUUCCUGGAACCAAAUUAUUUUCCCUCAUGACUCCAAAACAUACAGCCCCUGUAGCUUACCUAUGCAUUCAUUCCAAGGAUGACUCUAUAGAUCAAAAAUAAAAUAAAAUAAAUCACAUAAGUUUCAGUAAUUUAUUGUGAAUCAUAGAUUAAUAUAUUUAUAUUGUCAUAAAUUCACACUCUCCAAAUUAAUGCAGAAACAACAUAAAGAUGGUUUAUUUUUAGGCCAGUAUCAUUGCUGCCAAUACUGCUACUGAUGUGCCUAUUAAAAAAAAAGAAUUAUAAUUCUACCCUCAGUUUUAGAUAUACAUUAUAGCCAUUCAACAUUUCUGGUUGAAUGAUUUCUUUUUUUUGUUGUUGUUUGAUUUACCUUAAUGACAGAGACUACAGCAGGUUUCGAUUUAAAAGCCUCUUUAAAACUUGAUGCACUUAAAGAGAAUGUAAGCAUCUCUGCAGCAUCCGAUCCCGCACUAGCCGACUGAGGGAUAGCUUUUUACCUCAGGCUGUCAGACUGAUGCACAUUCAGAACUAAUACACCCUACACCAUACUCCCACAAUAUGGUAUGCCACACACUGCACUUUAACUUUAACAGUUCCACAGUGUACUAUACAUACACACUGCAUUAAAUACAAUAACCUACCUGUUACCACUGGAUACCAUCCGAUGCACUUCUAUGACAUUUCUGUAUCCAGUUCAAGUACACUCUGUUGCACCUUACCAUAUUUUUAUGCGUAUAUAUGUUUAAUGUAGAAUGUGUAGAUUGUGUAUAGCGCCUCUGUGUAUAGUGUAUAGUGUAUGAUGUGUAAUGCUAACUGUAGGUAUGUACAUACUGCGUAUAAUGUGUAGUGUUAACUGUAAGUAUGUCUAAUAGUACAAUGUGUGUACUGACAAUAUGUAUGUGCAUAUUUCACAUUUUCACCUGUUGAAGCCUGUAUGGUAAUAUGUUAACUGUUUCUGCAAUUUCUGGAGCAAGCUCCAAAGAAUUUCACUCGCCAAGGCACAUGUGCUGUGGUGAUGUGACAAUAAAAGUGACUUGACUUGACUGAACAUAUGUACCCCCCCCCACCCCCCACCCCCCCCGCAUCCCCCACUUGCUACUUUCAUUUUAAGAGCUGUUUUCUUUUUACACAAAAUAGAAUCAAA
ensembl:lncRNA